AAUGUAAGGGAUCGCUAUUACAAAAAAGUAAUUAGAUUACUGUUACUUUCCCAUAAGCACGCUGCGUUACUGCGUUACUAAACCGUGUUUGUUUUUGAGAGUGUCUCAUGACAGUGACGUACAAGUGUGACGUCCAUGGUAACAGACAUGUGCAGAUCAACAACGGAUAAUAUAUCAAGUGGGAGAGAGUACGACCAUGCAGCAUUUAGAGAUUUGAAAAAGUAAACUUCAAUCUGAGCAAGCACGGAGCACAUUCACAGAGAAACCCCUGGAUCCUCCCACUGACAUGACUGCAACACUGGGCAAACCUCCACUGGCCCCACUCCUGCUAAACAGACAUUAUUGGAGAUAGGUUUAUCCAUCCGGAUGUCUGACCGGCCUGAAUAUGACAACCAAGGCUUUUUUCCUCCCUAUCUGGAACCAAUACCACCGUACUGGCGUUCCCUACCACCGUCACCGGAUCUGCGGAAGCGACGCAGGAGACGGGGUAACCGUGGAGGUUGUCUUGUGAAGCUGAAAUCCUGGAUUUCUCAUUUUCUCCAUGAGCUCCGCUGCAUCUGCCGUUUUUGUCCGCGACUCUUGGUGCCAUUGCGUGCCUUGGAUCCAGUGGACUCCUGGCUGGUUCCUGUUGUUGGGUCUUUCGAAAAUGGUCCUGCAAAACUCUCUCCUCUACGACAUAUGCGCUGGCGCGGAGUUGACAAGAAUAAUCUUCGACCGGUGGAUCUGGUUGCUAAUGCCUCGGAAGUUUUGGACCCAGUUC